GUUUGAUCCUGGCUCAGAUUGAACGCUGGCGGCAUGCUUUACACAUGCAAGUCGAACGGCAGCGGGGGCUUCGGCCCGCCGGCGAGUGGCGAACGGGUGAGUAAUGCAUCGGAACGUACCCAGUCGUGGGGGAUAACGUAUCGAAAGGUACGCUAAUACCGCAUACGUCCUGAGGGAGAAAGCGGGGGACCGUAAGGCCUCGCGCGAUUGGAGCGGCCGAUGUCGGAUUAGCUAGUUGGUGGGGUAAAGGCCUACCAAGGCGACGAUCCGUAGCUGGUCUGAGAGGAUGAUCAGCCACACUGGGACUGAGACACGGCCCAGACUCCUACGGGAGGCAGCAGUGGGGAAUUUUGGACAAUGGGCGCAAGCCUGAUCCAGCCAUGCCGCGUGAGUGAAGAAGGCCUUCGGGUUGUAAAGCUCUUUCGCGAGGGAAGAAAAGGGGCGCUCUAACAUAGCGUUCUGAUGACGGUACCUUGAGAAGAAGCACCGGCUAACUACGUGCCAGCAGCCGCGGUAA
rnacentral:rRNA from 1 species